rnacentral:misc_RNA from 1 species
CUGCAGCUAGAUAACAAUAUUAGGGAGCCCAAAGACAUAUAAGGAUCCAAAGGAUAGAAAUUAUUGAAUUAGGCCCUCUACCAUUUGUGACCAUAAACAUCAGUUGCUUAAAACCUUUGACCCUAAUUUCAGUCCACGAAUCUAGUACUGGCAUACAAUGAAUAUGGGUGCUUGAAUUCACUGUAUGCCAGUACUAGAUUCGU